CCUUAAAAACGCGUAUAAGCUUUAUUUAAGGUGUUUAAGCUAUAAUUUCAUAAAACGUGUUUAAGCUAAAAUUGACAUUUAAGUCUUCUAACUACUAAACUUUCACAUGUUCAAGAGAUCAGAGCCGAAGAGCUCUUGCCAACGGAAGUAAUGGACAAGCUAAGAGAGGAAUUUUGUUGUUGUUUUUUGUUUUUUUUGUGUGCAAAUACAUUUAUGCUUUUUUAGUUUUUUUAAAGUUAUUUAGCAACUGACUUUUGUCAGUUGUGACAGUUUGUCAGUCAGCAAGU